CAGAUCAUCAUCAGUCACUGGUUAAGCAUCAAAGAGACCGCCUCGAUCGUCGACCCGUCAAGUGUUCCGCCAGACGAUUGGCCAGCAGAAGUUUAGCUAAUUGUGUUUUCUUGUGGUAUAAACCGUCUCACCAGUGAUAAGUAUCGGCGUGGAAAAUUAACCGCACUGGAGUGCGAGGUGCCGCGAUACCGAAAAUUGGUCGCGGUGGAGAGUGAGGUGGCGUCUACUAUCAGCAUGGAAAGCAUGGCCAUGCUGGAGUAGUUGGAUAAUUUGAGAUCGGCCUUCAUUUCCUGUUUCGCAAGCUAAAUUCCAUCAUGGCUGGAGCCGUGGUGUGGAGCAGUGCGCUGCUGUGCAUUCCUGCCGACUGGACGGCGGGGCAAAUGCACCGGAUGGCCGGCGUUCUCGCCGGUGACCAAGCUGGGUUCUGCCCGGGCAGCAACGUUGUUCCGGAUCGUCGAGGGAUACACGGGGUCACACACACACACAGGUUUACACCCGCAACUCUAGUUUUAAGGACGCCAACUAGGUUUAGUUCGCCAAUAUAGAUGAUUAUGUGAUCAAUUCAAGAGAUCACCAACGAUGGAAUAGUGUACACACACAAGAAUUGAAGAAAAGUGAUAAAUUUGAAACAUAAAUUGUGAAUAGAUCGUUUUGAUGGGGAUUAAUUUUGAUUUUUCUCCCAGAUGUAGUUGAGGUUGAAGUGAUCAUGAGAAUUCUUUGUAAAUAUUUUCAAUACGAGAAGUGAUGGGAGGAAAUUUUGUAUAUUUUGUACGUUUGUAUAUAUGA